rnacentral:rRNA from 1 species
UGCCAGCAGCCGCGGUAAUACGGAGGGGGUUAGCGUUGUUCGGAAUUACUGGGCGUAAAGCGCGCGUAGGCGGACUAUUAAGUCAGAUGUGAAAGCCCACGGCUUAACCGUGGAACUGCAUUUGAAACUGGUAGGCUUGAGUAUGAGAAGGGGUAGUGGAAUUCCCAGUGUAGCGGUGAAAUGCGUAGAUAUUGGGAAGAACACCAGUAGCGAAGGCGGCUAACUGGCUCGGUACUGACGCUGAGAUGCGAAAGCGUGGGGAGCAAACAGGAUUAGAUA